rnacentral:tRNA from 1 species
GAGGGUGUAGCUCAGUAAGAGAGUAUGUGCUUAGCAUGCACGAGAUCUUGGGUUCAAUCCCCAAUACCUCCA